rnacentral:rRNA from 1 species
GAUGAACGCUAGCGGCAGGCCUAAUACAUGCAAGUCGAACGGGUUUGAGUAGCAAUACUCAAAUCAGUGGCGCACGGGUGCGUAACGCGUAUGCAACCUACCUUAAACUGGGGGAUAGCCUUCCGAAAGGGAGAUUAAUACCGCAUAAUACUAUUUGAUGGCAUCUGAAGAUAGUUAAAGAUUUAUUGGUUUAAGAUGGGCAUGCGUGCCAUUAGCUAGUUGGUAGGGUAACGGCCUACCAAGGCAACGAUGGCUAGGGGUUCUGAGAGGAUGAUCCCCCACACUGGUACUGAGAUACGGACCAGACUCCUACGGGAGGCAGCAGUAGGGAAUAUUGGGCAAUGGACGGAAGUCUGACCCAGCCAUGCCGCGUGCAGGAUGAAGGCCUUCUGGGUUGUAAACUGCUUUUAUCUAGGAAGAAAA